ACAGAGGGGGCAAGCGUUGUUCGGAAUUACUGGGCGUAAAGGGCGCGUAGGCUGUGCAGUACGGCUCGGGUGAAAUCCCUCGGCCCAACCGAGGAACCGCCCGGGCGACGGCUGCGCUGGACUGCAUCAGGGGCGGAUGGAACUCCCGGUGGAGCGGUGAAAUGCGUAGAUAUCGGGAGGAACGCCGGUGGCGAAAGCGCUCAUCUGGCCCAAUACUGACGCUGAGGCGCGAAAGCUAGGGGAGCAAACGGGA
rnacentral:rRNA from 1 species